AUUGAACGCUGGCGGAAUGCUUUACACAUGCAAGUCGAACGGCAGCACGGGGGCAGCCCUGGUGGCGAGUGGCGAACGGGUGAGUAAUACAUCGUAACGUGCCCGGUCGUGGGGGAUAACGUAGCGAAAGUUACGCUAAUACCGCAUACGAUCUGAGGAUGAAAGCGGGGGACCUUCGGGCCUCGCGCGAUCGGAGCGGCCGAUGUCAGAUUAGGUAGUUGGUGGGGUAAAGGCCUACCAAGCCGACGAUCUGUAGCUGGUCUGAGAGGACGACCAGCCACACUGGGACUGAGACACGGCCCAGACUCCGACGGGAGGCAGCAGUGGGGAAUUUUGGACAAUGGGCGCAAGCCUGAUCCAGCCAUUCCGCGUGAAGGACGAAGGCCUUCGGGUUGUAAACUGCUUUUGUACGGAACGAAAAGGCGCUGGCUAAUACCUGGGGAUCAUGACGGUACCGGAAGAAUAAGCACCGGCUAACUACGUG
rnacentral:rRNA from 1 species